AUUGAACGCUGGCGGCAGGCUUAACACAUGCAAGUCGAGCGGAGAGAGGUAGCUUGCUACCGAUCUUAGCGGCGGACGGGUGAGUAAUGCUUAGGAAUCUGCCUAUUAGUGGGGGACAACAUUUUGAAAGGAAUGCUAAUACCGCAUACGUCCUACGGGAGAAAGCAGGGGAUCUUCGGACCUUGCGCUAAUAGAUGCGCCUAAGUCGGAUUAGCUAGUUGGUGGGGUAAAGGCCUACCAAGGCGACGAUCUGUAGCGGGUCUGAGAGGAUGAUCCGCCACACUGGGACUGAGACACGGCCCAGACUCCUACGGGAGGCAGCAGUGGGGAAUAUUGGACAAUGGGCGCAAGCCUGAUCCAGCCAUGCCGCGUGUGUGAAGAAGGCCUUAUGGUUGUAAAGCACUUUAAGCGAGGAGGAGGCUACUUUAGUUAAUACCUAGAGAUAGUGGACGUUACUCGCAGAAUAAGCACCGGCUAACUCUGUGCCAGCCGCCGCCGUAACAC
rnacentral:rRNA from 1 species